rnacentral:lncRNA from 1 species
GGCUCGUGACCGUUGGGGGCAGGGAGCUUAGGCACUAGCUGGGUCUGCAGAGAGCGGGAAAAAGGACGGUCAGUGAUUGGAUGCUUUGAAGGUAUGAGCGGCAAGAGUGGGAGAUUUUGAACCAAUUAGAGGAGGCAACAAGAAGACAGACCAAUCACAGGGUAACCCGAGCCCGGGGUGGAGGGGGAGGGCGGUUUUUGUGUCACCGGGCAGAUUGUCCGAAGACUCGAGAUGAAAAUUUUCUCAGCCGAGUUCACGUCGCAGGAGCUUGACCCUGGCCUUCGUUAACUGCUUUUUCUGGGUUUAAAAAUUUCCUCAGCAUUUUUUCUUUUGGAACAGAACUGAGAGGAAAAAUUUGAAAAGAAAUUUAUUGCGACGCUGGAGAAUAAAGGACAGAAUAUUAAAAUAUUUUCUUAUUUCAUAGGCCUGAGCCAGAGAUUCCAAAAUGGACAGCAAUGAUUUUCGUUUCAUGGACUUUAAAGAAACUGUUGAAAACCUAAUUGCAACAGACAUUUCACCUAACACACCUGAGGCAAUUGAUAGACUCUUCAUGGAUAUAGGAAAUAUCAACAGAGGGUCUAUGGCUGAAAUACAGGAUUGUCAGAUUGAAGAAAUGGCGGUAAACCUGUGGAACUGGGCAAUUACCAAUAAAAUGGAUUUGGUGAUAAAUGAAGAACAGAAAGCUAAAGGUAUGUAUACGUUUUGUAACUCAUACUAUGAGGAAUAUUCUUAUUGUACAUCAGAUUGUGUUCCUGUAAUUUAAAUAUUUUGAUCAGUUCUUAAGUGCAUAUUUAUUG